rnacentral:rRNA from 1 species
AGUGAACGCUGGCGGUAGGCCUAACACAUGCAAGUCGAACGGCAGCACAGAGGAGCUUGCUCCUUGGGUGGCGAGUGGCGGACGGGUGAGGAAUACAUCGGAAUCUACUCUGUCGUGGGGGAUAACGUAGGGAAACUUACGCCAAUACCGCAUACGACCUACGGGUGAAAGCAGGGGACCUUCGGGCCUUGCGCGAUUGAAUGAGCCGAUGUCGGAUUAGCUAGGUGGCGGGGUAAAGGCCCACCAAGGCGACGAUCCGUAGCUGGUCUGAGAGGAUGAUCAGCCACACUGGAACUGAGACACGGUCCAGACUCCUACGGGAGGCAGCAGUGGGGAAUAUUGGACAAUGGGCGCAAGCCUGAUCCAGCCAUACCGCGUGGGUGAAGAAGGCCUUCGGGUUGUAAAGCCCUUUUGUUGGGAAAGAAAUCCAGCUGGCUAAUACCCGGUUGGGAUGACGGUACCCAAAGAAUAAGCACCGGCUAACUUCGUGCCAGCAGCCGCGGUAA